rnacentral:rRNA from 1 species
CCUACGGGAGGCUGCAGUAGAGAAUCAUUCACAAUGGGGGAAACCCUGAUGGAGCGACGCCGCGUGGGGGAAUGAAGGUCUGCGGAUUGUAAACCCCUGUCAUGUGGGAGCAAAUUAAAAAGAUAGUACCACAAGAGGAAGAGACGGCUAACUCUGGACCAGCAGCCGCGGUAAUACAGAGGGCUCAAGCGUUGUUCGGAAUCACUGGGCGUAAAGGGUGCGUAGGCUGUUUCGUAAGUCGUGUGUGAAAGGCGCUGGCUCAACCCGCGGACGGCACAUGAUACUGCGAGACUAGAGUAAUGGAGGGGGAACCGGAAUUCUCGGUGUAGCAGUGAAAUGCGUAGAUAUCGAGAGGAACACUCGUGGCGAAGGCGGGUUCCUGGACAUUAACUGACGCUGAGGCACGAAGGCCAGGGGAGCGAAAGGGAUUAGAUACCCCAGUAGUC